GGCUGUGUCAGGAUUAGCAUCUCUGAUGUGUGUGUGUGCUUGUGUGAGUGUUUGUGUGUGUUCUGUCAACACUGUGUGUGUGUGUGCCUGAUUGUCAGGCCAUACUUUGGACUACGAUAUAGGACUUGCACCUCCUGCAUUAGGUGUUAUAUUUUAGAGACAUGUUCAACAGCAGAUUAGAAGGACACACCGACGCACCUUAUUUCACGCACGCACGCACGCACGCACGCAUGCACGCUAUGCAACCAGCAGUCCUUGGUGACCCUCAGUAUGCACCACUACCAGAACUGACCGAUGAGGAUCUCGAGGGUCUUGCCGACAUUCCGUUGUGGCCCUCAGCGCUGUUGGAACAGCUCGACUUCACUCCCGCUCAUUGGAUAGACCCUCCAGCUACUUCCGUAGGGGGUACCGCCAGGGCAGAACCUGUAAACCAUCAGCCUGCAGCCCCCGCCUCUGGAUCACUACCCAUCAUCCAGGCCUCUAUCCACGAUCCGCCAGGCACUGUGAGUCCCUACGCCUACGGGGCAGUGGCUACGCUCCUACCAGUCGGUGCAGCGGUUGCUGGUGAAUACAUUGUGGGUGGGCCAUGUAUCAACUGUUGUAAAAAAUGUGCUGGUAAAUUAACUUUGGUAACUACAGCGGCUGAUGUAAAUGCCUUAACCAUUGGUCGUCAGUGUAAACUGGGUGCAUUGUCUGUGAAACGUAAUGACAGCAGAUUUCAGGCUAUCGAAGAGCAAACGAAGCAGUCACUCAAGACACUCGGGGCCAUCAAGGCCGAGAUAGUGCGUGAUCGUCGUGCUAAUGCAUCCCAGAAAGCCGAGCUAGUGCGUUAUGGUCUGGCUAUAGAAUCAAUACAGCAGAAGAAUUUGGCUGUCGAGGCAGCAGUGCGUGUUAACACUCUGGCUUUGGAUAGGGGGCCUAAGAUAUCUAAUAUAGCUCGGAAAAUAUGGCUAAUUGAAGAUACGGCGCAGGAUAACAUCAGGGCCUACAAGGCCAUGUCUGCCCGGAUGACUGUUAUGAAUAAUGCACUGGAUAAGCUCACGAUGAAUCGUUAGUAUUUGAUUUGUGGUUUUGGG
ensembl:lncRNA